AGCUGCGGCAGCGACACUGUGUGUUGUUGGGUAGGGGAGCGUUCUGUAAGCCUGUGAAGGUGUGUCGUGAGGCAUGCUGGAGGUAUCAGAAGUGCGAAUGCUGACAUAAGUAACGAUAAAGCGGGUGAAAAGCCCGCUCGCCGGAAGACCAAGGGUUCCUGUCCAACGUUAAUCGGGGCAGGGUGAGUCGACCCCUAAGGCGAGGCCGAAAGGCGUAGUCGAUGGGAAACGGGUUAAUAUUCCCGUACUUGGUGUUACUGCGAAGGGGGGACGGAGAAGGCUAUGUUGGCCGGGCGACGGUUGUCCCGGUUUAAGCGUGUAGGUGUGUGUUCCAGGUAAAUCCGGUUCACUUUAACACUGAGGCGUGACGACGAGGCACUACGGUGCUGAAGCAACAAAUGCCCUGCUUCCAGGAAAAGCCUCUAAGCAUCAGGUAACAUCAAAUCGUACCCCAAACCGACACAGGUGGUCAGGUAGAGAAUACCAAGGCGCUUGAGAGAACUCGGGUGAAGGAACUAGGCAAAAUGGUGCCGUAACUUCGGGAGAAGGCACGCUGACACGUAGGUGAAGUGAUUUACUCAUGGAGCUGAAGUCAGUCGAAGAUACCAGCUGGCUGCAACUGUUUAUUAAAAACACAGCACUGUGCAAACACGAAAGUGGACGUAUACGGUGUGACGCCUGCCCGGUGCCGGAAGGUUAAUUGAUGGGGUCAGCGCAAGCGAAGCUCCUGAUCGAAGCCCCGGUAAACGGCGGCCGUAACUAUAACGGUCCUAAGGUAGCGAAAUUCCUUGUCGGGUAAGUUCCGACCUGCACGAAUGGCGUAAUGAUGGCCAGGCUGUCUCCACCCGAGACUCAGUGAAAUUGAACUCGCUGUGAAGAUGCAGUGUACCCGCGGCAAGACGGAAAGACCCCGUGAACCUUUACUAUAGCUUGACACUGAACAUUGAGCCUUGAUGUGUAGGAUAGGUGGGAGGCUUUGAAGUGUGGACGCCAGUCUGCAUGGAGCCGACCUUGAAAUACCACCCUUUAAUGUUUGAUGUUCUAACGUGGACCCGUUACCCGGGUUGCGGACAGUGUCUGGUGGGUAGUUUGACUGGGGCGGUCUCCUCCUAAAGAGUAACGGAGGAGCACGAAGGUUGGCUAAUCCUGGUCGGACAUCAGGAGGUUAGUGCAAUGGCAUAAGCCAGCUUGACUGCGAGCGUGACGGCGCGAGCAGGUGCGAAAGCAGGUCAUAGUGAUCCGGUGGUUCUGAAUGGAAGGGCCAUCGCUCAACGGAUAAAAGGUACUCCGGGGAUAACAGGCUGAUACCGCCCAAGAGUUCAUAUCGACGGCGGUGUUUGGCACCUCGAUGUCGGCUCAUCACAUCCUGGGGCUGAAGUAGGUCCCAAGGGUAUGGCUGUUCGCCAUUUAAAGUGGUACGCGAGCUGGGUUUAGAACGUCGUGAGACAGUUCGGUCCCUAUCUGCCGUGGGCGCUGGAGAACUGAGGGGGGCUGCUCCUAGUACGAGAGGACCGGAGUGGACGCAUCACUGGUGUUCGGGUUGUCAUGCCAAUGGCACUGCCCGGUAGCUAAAUGCGGAAGAGAUAAGUGCUGAAAGCAUCUAAGCACGAAACUUGCCCCGAGAUGAGUUCUCCCUGAGACUUAAAGUCUCCUGAAGGAACGUUGAAGACGACGACGUU
rnacentral:rRNA from 1 species